AUGUGUUCCACUAUGUUUGCCUCUUUAGCUUUGUUGCUUGCGCAGUUCUGUGCCACAUCUUUGCUAUUCAGUGCUGCAAGUACCAUGCCUGAUUGUCAUUCCAAAAUCCCAGCCAACUUUCCACCGCCUGACACGAUGUCCACUUCCGUUUUAUGCGUCGAUCCAAGUGGGUGUUGCAGGUUUACUAAGGUGCAAAGAGCAAUUGAUUCUAUUCCAGAAAAUAGUUCAAAGAGAACUAUACUGUGGAUUAACAAGGGCACAUACUUUGAAAAAGUAAGAGUCACCAAGCCUAACAUCACAUUUCAAGGGCAAGGCUUAAUGGAUACGUUUAUUGUGUGGAACGACACAGCGAAGACCUCAAGUGGCACGACUUCUAGUGGUUCAGUAGAUAUCAAGGCAGCAGGGUUCAUCGCCAAGAACAUAAGCUUCAAGAAUUCAGCGCCAGUGCCAAAACCUGGUGAUGAGGGUGGACAAGCACUUGCCAUUAGGCUCAGUGGUGACCAAGCAGCAUUAUGGGGAUGUGGAUUCUUUGGUGCACAGGAUACCUUGUUUGAUGAUGUUGGUCGCCACUACUUCAAGGACUGCUUCAUCGAAGGCUCUGUGGACUUCAUAUUUGGAAAUGCAAGAUCACUUUUUGAGAACUGCAUAUUGAAUUCAAUAGCAGAAGCAAAGCCUACCAUAAAGGGCAAUGUGAACGCUGCAAUCACGGCGCAAGCCCGAGAAUCCGAGGCAAACCAUACAGGUUUCUCAUUCGUAAAUUGCACCAUUAAAGGCACUAGUGAAAUAUUGCUUGGAAGGGCUUAUCGACCGUAUUCGCGUGUUAUCUUCGCUCACACUUACAUCUCCAACAUUCUUGCCUCUCAAGGGUGGAGCGACUUUGGUAAACCAUCAAAUCAACGCACCGUAUUCUAUGGAGAAUACAUGUGUACAGGAGAAGGUGCUAAGCGUACAGAAAGAGUUCCAUAUUCUCGAAGCCUCACUGAUGAUGAAGUCCGGCCUUACUUGAACUCAUCAUACGUGGAUGGAGAAGAUUGGCUGAAGCCAUUUGAUGAUGCGCUCAUCACCUCAUGA
rnacentral:rRNA from 1 species